rnacentral:rRNA from 1 species
GGGUCAGUAGGUUGGUCGUGCCACCGGUACGUACUGGUCUCACUGAUUCCUCCUUCCUGAAGAACCGUAAUGCCAUUAAUUUGGUGUUGCGGGGAAACAGGACCGUUACUUUGAAAAAAUUAGAGUGUUUAAAGCAAGCUAACGCUUGAAUACAUUAGCAUGGAAUAAUGAAAUAGGACGAUCAAUCCUAUUUUGUUGGUUUCUAGGAUUGACGUA